ensembl:lncRNA
CUUUUUUGGUCUUAGAUGGCUGGUCUCAGUUGUCCUCAUUAACAGAUGAACAAUGGCCCAUUGCUUUUUCAUUUGCAUCUGUGGCGAACACAGUUAAUGAGACAUAUUAGCACCCAUGUCUCUGCAUGGAAAUGAUUCACUAUGCCAUUAAUUCCGCUGCCUGCCGUGACCUAAAAACAUGGAAAUAUAGGUAUAUUUUAUUUCAGUUUGAAAAGAAAAAUAUAGGCUAAUAUACAGCUAUAAAAAUGGUUCUGCUUCCUAAAUCACUCAGGAAUCGUGUCUGUAUUUAUUAUGGGUAGGAAAUGAAAUGAAAUUAGUUCCAAACUGCAAAUUUUGUGCAAGGCAAUUCAAGUAAGAAGGCACAUAAACAAACAAACAAAAAAAUUAAAACAGCAAACUUUUUCUGAGAAAACAAUAAUGCCUUCUGUAAGUAUUCACCCACUUGAACUUUUCCACAUACUGUAGUGUUACAACCUGGGACUGGUAUGGAUGUCAGUGGGAUUAUUGAUCAUGAAUCUACACAAAACAGCCCAUAGUAGUGGAGUGAGGGGAAAAUAUCACAAGCAAGAUUUUAAGGCUAGUUUCACUACACAAGCAAGAUUAUUAGCCAAAUAUCUCUACAAAAGUAAAACUAUUAGGCUAAACUCACUACACUAGCAAAAAAACUGUUAGGCUAAACUCACUACACUAGCAAAAUUGUUAGGCUAAUCUCACUACACUAGCAAAACUGUUAAGGCUAAUCUCACUACUGUACUCUAGAAAAACUGUUAGGCUAAUCUCACUACACUAGCAAAACUGUUAGGCUAAUCUCACUACACUAGAAAAACUGUUAGGCUAAUCUAACUACACUAGAAAAACUGUUAGGCUAAUCUAACUACACUAGAAAAACUGUUAGGCUAAUCUCACUACUAUACACUAGCAAAACUCUUAGGCUAAUUUCAGUACACUAGCAAAACUGUUAGGCUAAUCCCAUUAAACUACCAUGACAUUUAGGCUAAUCUCAUUACACUAGAAAAACUGCAAGGCUAAUCUCACUACACUAGCAAAACUGUUAGGCUAAUCUCACUACUGUACUCUAGCAAACUGUUAGGCUAAUCUCACUACUGUACUCUAGCAAAAACGGUUAGGCUAAUCUAACUACACUAGCAAAACUGUUAGGCUAAUUUCAGUACACUAAUAUGACUUUUAGGCUAAUCUCACUACACUAGCAAAUCUGUUAGGCUACUCUCACUUUUGUUAGGCUAAUCUCACUUCUGCUAUGCUAAUCUCAUUACACUAGCAAAUCUGUUAGGCUAAUCUAACUACACUAGCAAGAUUAUUAUGAUAACAUCACUACACUAGCAAGAUUAAUUACAUAUGGGUAAAACCUUGGGAGCUAAACUGAAAAAUAGGGGGGGAAGUAUUUAAUUUAGUAACCCCCUCAACCUCUUUGUAUUUGAGCUCACCAUCUCCCUUGAAACCUUAUUAAAAUUUGACUACUGCUGUAUGUGUACCACUGUGUUGUCUGUAUAUCCAGCAGAGUUGAAAGCAGGAGCUGUGAUGAUGUAAAUCUCUCUGCUUUUUCGCCCUUCAGUGUUGCAUCCACACACCUGUUCUAAUCUCAUAUUAUCCCGUGUGUGAAGAAAACACACUCAUUCUUCUCCAACAUAAACAUGUCAUGCUGUGGUCAGGUAGACUUGCAUGAAAACGUGAGGGCACACCUUUCCUGCUGUGAUUGUUCAGGAGCCAGCGUUUGUCCAACACAGCUGGAGAGCCGUUCUGCCUGAGCUCACAUCUGGAGCAGGACUUCAUCAUGCCAUUAUCACAACACUAAUUUGAGCUUGUUUGCUCCAUAAGUAUGUUUUUCUUUCUCUGGCAAGCAACAAUAGAUAGAUAAUAGAUAGAUGCCCCAGGGGCGCUGUAUCAUGGCUGACCCUGCGCUCUGACCCCAGCUUCCUGACAGGCUGGGGUAUGUGAAGAAAACAAUUUCACUGUGCUCUACUGUAUAUGUGACCAUUAAAG